GACCCCAGUGUGACCCCAAAACCCCAAGGAGACCCCAUUGCCCCCAUAGAGACCCCAAAGUCCCAUAGGGACCCCAUUGUCCCAAUAGAGAACCCCAUUGUCCCCAUACCGACCCCAAAGUGCCACAGAGACCCCAAAUUCCCCAUAGAGACCCCAAUGUGACCCCGAUGUCCCCAGGAUGUCCUUAGGGUCCCCAUUGCCUUCAAUGUCCCCCCAUGUUCCUCAGUGUCCCCAAUACCCCCAAAUGUCCCCAUUGUCCCCAGUGUCCCCACUGACCUCAAAGCCUUCAAUGCCCCCAGUGACCCCGGUGUCCCCAAUGACCCCAAUGCUCCCAGUACCCCCAACGUCCCCCAGUGCCCUCCGAUGUCCCCAGUGUCCCCACUGUCCCCAAUGUCCCCGCUGACCCCAGUGUCUCCAUUGUCCCCAUUGUCCCCACUGUCCCCAUUGUCCCCGCUGACCCCAGUGUCCCCAUUGUCCCCAAUGUCUCCAUUGCCCCCAAUGUCUCCAGUGUCCUCCACUGUCCCCAUUGUCCCCGCUGACCCCAGUGUCCCCAAUGCCCCCAAUGUCUCCAGUGUCCUCCACUGUCCCCAUUGUCCCCAUUGUCCCCAACGCCCCCAACGUCCCCCCGCUCAUCUCCCCCAUUGCAGUUUGCCAUCGGUUCCCUGAUGGACGAUUACCUCGGUCUCGUCAGCUGAGCGCCGUGGGACGAGCGGAGAGACGGGAUGGAGGACAAGGCUGGCUGUGGGGCUCGGUUUUGGCGUGUGUCCCCCCCCCCGGUCCCAAUAAAAACGCCUUUUUUUGUCA